AGCACAUAAAUUUGUAAAUGUAUUUGUAGUAUACCUGGCAUGAAAUAAAUUUUAUUUCAAAUACAUUUCAGUAUAUUUAUUUUUCACUAGGGC